CUGGGUGCAGGAGAUCAAAGAGGAGGGCAAGGGACCGGCCAUCGGUGAGCAUCUGCUACCCAGCUCCAUCCCAUCUAGAGCAACCACUUUCGAUCUCCUGGCUUCUACCCCCUGCCCUGCUGGCAGGGCAUUGUGCAGCAGCCUUUCCAACCCACCUGGGUGCAGGAGAUCAAAGAGGAGGGCAAGGGACCGGCCAUCGGUGAGCAUCUGCUACCCAGCUCCAUCCCAUCUAGAGCAACCACUUUCGAUCUCCUGGCUUCUACCCCCUGCCCUGCUGGCAGGGCAUUGUGCAGCAGCCUUUCCAACCCACCUGGGUGCAGGAGAUCAAAGAGGAGGGCAAGGGACCGGCCAUCGGUGAGCAUCUGCUACCCAGCUCCAUCCCAUCUAGAGCAACCACUUUCGAUCUCCUGGCUUCUACCCCCUGCCCUGCUGGCAGGGCAUUGUGCAGCAGCCUUUCCAACCCACCUGGGUGCAGGAGAUCAAAGAGGAGGGCAAGGGACCGGCCAUCGGUGAGCAUCUGCUACCCAGCUCCAUCCCAUCUAGAGCAACCACUUUCGAUCUCCUGGCUUCUACCCCCUGCCCUGCUGGCAGGGCAUUGUGCAGCAGCCUUUCCAACC